rnacentral:rRNA from 1 species
AGAUUGCAGGCUGCAACUCGCCUGCAUGAAGUCGGAAUUGCUAGUAAUCGUAGGUCAGCAUACUACGGUGAAUACGUUCCCGGGCCUUGUACACACCGCCCGUCAAACCAUGAGAGUUGGCAACACCCGAAGUCGGUAGUCUAACCGCAAGGAGGACGCCGCCGAAGGUGGGGUCGAUGAUUAGGGUUAAGUCGUAACAAGGUAGC